rnacentral:rRNA from 1 species
GAUGAACGCUGGCGGCGUGCCUAACACAUGCAAGUCGAGCGCGUCUGAUUUGAUGCUUGCAUUGAUGAAAGAUGAGCGGCGGACGGGUGAGUAACGCGUGGGUAACCUGCCCUAUACACAUGGAUAACAUACUGAAAAGUUUACUAAUACAUGAUAAUAUAUAUUUACGGCAUCGUAGAUAUAUCAAAGUGUUAGCGGUAUAGGAUGGGCCCGCGUCUGAUUAGCUAGUUGGUGAGAUAACUGCCCACCAAGGCGACGAUCAGUAGCCGACCUGAGAGGGUGAUCGGCCACAUUGGAACUGAGACACGGUCCAAACUCCUACGGGAGGCAGCAGUGGGGAAUAUUGCACAAUGGGCGCAAGCCUGAUGCAGCAACGCCGCGUGAACGAUGAAGGUCUUCGGAUCGUAAAGUUCUGUUGCAGGGGAAGAUAAUGACGGUACCCUGUGAGGAAGCCCCGGCUAACUACGUGCCAGCAGCCGCGGUAAUACGUAGGGGGCUAGCGUUAUCCGGAUUUACUGGGCGUAAAGGGUGCGUAGGUGGUCUUUCAAGUCGGUGGUUAAAGGCUACGGCUCAACCGUAGUUAGCCUCCGAAACUGGAAGACUUGAGUGCAGGAGAGGAAAGUGGAAUUCCCAGUGUAGCGGUGAAAUGCGUAGAUAUUGGGAGGAACACCAGUAGCGAAGGCGGCUUUCUGGACUGCAACUGACACUGAGGCACGAAAGCGUGGGUAGCAAACAGG